UAGAGUUUGAUCAUGGCUCAGAACGAACGCUGGCGGCAUGCCUAAUACAUGCAAGUCGAACGAGAUCUUCGGAUCUAGUGGCGCACGGGUGCGUAACGCGUGGGAAUCUGCCCUUGGGUUCGGAAUAACGUCGGGAAACUGACGCUAAUACCGGAUGAUGACGAAAGUCCAAAGAUUUAUCGCCCAGGGAUGAGCCCGCGUAGGAUUAGCUAGUUGGUGAGGUAAAGGCUCACCAAGGCUACGAUCCUUAGCUGGUCUGAGAGGAUGAUCAGCCACACUGGGACUGAGACACGGCCCAGACUCCUACGGGAGGCAGCAGUAGGGAAUAUUGGACAUGGGGGCAACCCUGAUCCAGCAUGCCGCGUGAGUGAUGAAGGCCUUAGGGUUGUAAAGCUCUUUUACCCGAGAUGAUAAUGACAGUAUCGGGAGAAUAAGCUCCGGCUAACUCCGUGUCAGCAGCCGCGGUAAUAC
rnacentral:rRNA from 1 species